CAAAGAGGUUCUUGGAGAACUUAGAGAUUGGGGAAUAGUUAUGCUCUUUGAUGGCAUUAUCCAAAGAUGACAGCAAAAGCAAUUCCAUUUUGCCUGGAUCUGGGAACAAAGCCAAUGUCUGCUUUAGAGGAACAGAGAUUUCCAACGCUGCGAUAGAGAGAGAGAAGCAAAUACUUGUGGCUUUGUGGAGACUGUCAGGCACAAGAUAUCGGACACACAGGAGUCUCCAGCUCUGCUUACAGAGGAAUCCCUCAU
rnacentral:lncRNA from 1 species